rnacentral:rRNA from 1 species
CUGGACCAGAGCGUGAUUAACGGCCAGGAUUCCCUGAUGGGGCAAUCCGACGGCUGUAGAGGAUCGUUCCUGCCUGGCUCACACCUGUGCAGGGUGGCCCAGAGGUUGUCUGACAGACUACACAAUCUUUUUUUUGCCUUGUGCUCGUUUUUAGCCAGUAUCUUUUUUCAGUAUCUUUUUACAUUCAGUCUCCUAUACAUUGUCUACGUUUCCAUUUUCGGACAGUUUUAA